UACAGAGGUGGCUAGCGUUGUUCGGAAUUACUGGGCGUAAAGGGCGCGUAGGCGGCUUGGUCAGUCCCGUGUGAAAUCCCUCGGCUCAACUGAGGAACUGCACGGGAAACUGCCUGGCUUGAGUUUGGGAGAGGGAUGCGGAAUUCCAGGUGUAGCGGUGAAAUGCGUAGAUAUCUGGAGGAACACCGGUGGCGAAGGCGGCAUCCUGGACCAACACUGACGCUGAGUGAGCGAAAGCCAGGGGAGCAAACGGG
rnacentral:rRNA from 1 species